UUUUUUUCAACUUUUGUCCAAGCAACAGAGAUUCUGAUUCGGCUACCAAUACCAAGUUCCAUGUACACACUAAAUUUAUCAGGUUCACAAGCAAAAGUAGUCUAAUUUCUUUAGAUUUCUUCUUUUAAACAUUGCUUUUAGUAUUAUUUCUUGGUUGCUAAAUUGCCUGAGGCAAGAGCUGUUGAUGCAGAUGAAGCAGACAUGGAAGAUGUCCAAAAUUGUGCACUCUUCACCUUUGACACACUUGCCAGGACCCCUAAUGGUGUUACAUCUCCAACAAUUGUCACCUUCUUUGCUGCGAAGUCGAUGCUGAAGGAUGUCACUCCUGGUC
rnacentral:lncRNA from 1 species